AAUGGUUUUGGGAAAGAUAUAUUAUUUUCCACACACGACCCCAUGGUGAACACAUGACCAUCUACUGCAUAUUGGUCUAUCCCAUCUUCAAUGAAAUUCACAGAGGCGUUCCCGUGACCUGGCAAAGGAUUGCUCCCUAUGUUGGGAUUGUCCUCCUUGAAGGUAAGCCAUUUUGCAUUAAUCAAUUCUUGCACUUUAGAUUUUAGGGCUUGACAAUCUUCAAUGGAAUGCCCAACGG
rnacentral:lncRNA from 1 species